rnacentral:rRNA from 1 species
AUUGAACGCUGGCGGCAUGCCUUACACAUGCAAGUCGAACGGCAGCACGGGUGCUUGCACCUGGUGGCGAGUGGCGAACGGGUGAGUAAUACAUCGGAACGUACCUUAUCGUGGGGGAUAACGCAGCGAAAGCUGUGCUAAUACCGCAUACGCCCUGAGGGGGAAAGCGGGGGAUCGCAAGACCUCGCGCGAUUAGAGCGGCCGAUGCCUGAUUAGCUUGUUGGUGGGGUAAAAGCCCACCAAGGCGACGAUCAGUAGCUGGUCUGAGAGUACGAUCAGCCGGACGUGGACUGAGACACGGCCCAGACUCCGACGGGAGGCAGCAGUGGGGAAUUUUGGACAAUGGGGGCAACCCUGAUCCAGCAAUGCCGCGUGAGUGAAGAAGGCCUUCGGGUUGUAAAGCUCUUUUGUCAGGGAAGAAACACCGGCUCUAACACAGUCCGGGAAUGACGGUACCUGAAGAAUAAGCACCGGCUAACUACGUGCCAGCCGCCGCGGUAA